rnacentral:rRNA from 1 species
UAGGGAAUCUUCCGCAAUGGGCGAAAGCCUGACGGAGCAACGCCGCGUGAGUGAUGAAGGUCUUCGGAUCGUAAAACUCUGUUAUUAGGGAAGAACAAGGGUGUAAGUAACUAUGCACCCCUUGACGGUACCUAAUCAGAAAGCCACGGCUAACUACGUG